AGUGGGGAAUAUUGCGCAAUGGGCGAAAGCCUGACGCAGCGACGCCGCGUGGGUGAUGAAGGCCUUCGGGUCGUAAAGCCCUGUCUGGUGGAACGAAACGCCUGGCGGCCAAUACCCGCNGGGUUUGACGGUACCACCGAAGGAAGCCCCGGCUAACUACGUGCCAGCAGCCGCGGUAANACGUAGGGGGCGAGCGUUGUUCGGAUUUACUGGGCGUAAAGCGCGCGUAGGCGGCCAGAUAAGUCGGGUGUGAAAGCCCUCGGCUCAACCGAGGUUCCGCAUCCGAUACUGCUUGGCUGGAGUCUAGGAGAGGAGAGCGGAAUUCCCAGUGUAGCGGUGAAAUGCGUAGAUAUUGGGAGGAACACCCGUGGCGAAGGCGGCUCUCUGGACUAGUACUGACGCUGAGGCGCGAAAGCUAGGGGAGCGAACGGGAUUAGAUACCCCGGUAGUCCUAGCCGUAAACGAUGGGCACUAGGUGUGGGAGGUAUUGACCCCUUCCGCGCCGAAGCUAACGCAUUAAGUGCCCCGCCUGGGGAGUACGGCCGCAAGGCUA
rnacentral:rRNA from 1 species